AGUGAACGCUGGCGGUAGGCCUAACACAUGCAAGUCGAACGGCAGCACAGUAAGAGCUUGCUCUUACGGGUGGCGAGUGGCGGACGGGUGAGGAAUACAUCGGAAUCUACUUUUUCGUGGGGGAUAACGUAGGGAAACUUACGCUAAUACCGCAUACGACCUACGGGUGAAAGCAGGGGAUCUUCGGACCUUGCGCGAUUGAAUGAGCCGAUGUCGGAUUAGCUAGUUGGCGGGGUAAAGGCCCACCAAGGCGACGAUCCGUAGCUGGUCUGAGAGGAUGAUAGGCCACACUAGAACUGAGACACGGUCCAGACUCCUACGGGAGGCAGCAGUGGGGAAUAUGGGACAAUGGGCGCAAGCCUGAUCCAGCCAGACCGCGUGGGUGAAGGAGGCCUUCGGGUUGUAAAGCCCUUUUGUUGGGAGAGAAAAGCAGCAGGUUAAUACGACGCUGUUCUGACGGUACCCGAAGAAUAAGCACCGGCUAACUUCGUG
rnacentral:rRNA from 1 species